GUUUACAACCAUACCACCCUUAAUGUGGCUGAGCUCCUCUGAUCUGAGAAGCUAAGCAGGGUCAGACCUGGUUAGUAUUUGGAUGGGAGAACAUCUCAGAAUCCCUUAUUAAUAAGUC
ensembl:rRNA 5S_rRNA 5S ribosomal RNA